rnacentral:lncRNA from 1 species
AUGGACCUACCUAGUCAUUUCCAUUCAGUUUGCUCACAGGGUCAGAUAGCAAAUGCCCAUCCACUCCAUGUAUCAAAGGAUGUCAGUCAGGGAGAGGUAUUCAUUUUCUGCAUGAGAUGCAACAUCACGACUUUUCCCUCAUAUGGCUCUUGACAUCUGUUUCAUAAACUUACCACAUGGGAAGGGACAAGGAAAAGCAAGUUGUCAAGAAAAAAUCAUAUGACUUCAACAAUAAUAUACCAAAAUGCGUAAUCAGGGAGAGAAAACUGGAAUUUGGGAAACUGAAGGCACUUCUCUGUACAGGGGUUUACUGAAUAUAUCUUAAAAAAUAAUGUCUUAUGUACGCAUUUUUUAUUACAUAUUACUAAAGUUGCCACUUAAGGGAUACAAAAUAACAUGAUGUGGAUUUGCUUUUUUUUUUAUAUUUGAAUAAAGAUAUAGUAUUUUCUUAUAUACA